CGGGGAGUAGCGCAGCCUGGUAGCGUACUCGUUUCGGUAACGAGGGGCCGUCGGUUCAAAUCCGACCUUCCCGACCA
rnacentral:tRNA from 1 species